AAUGAACGUUGGCGGCGUGGAUUAGGCAUGCAAGUCGUACGGUAAGCUUCGGCUUAUAGAGGCGAAAGGGAGAGUAACGCGUGGUUACAUGCCCUCGAGACCGGGAUAGCGGCGGGAAACUGCCGGUAAUACCGGAUAAUAUCUUUGGAUCAAAGGUGUGAUUCCGCCCGAGGAUUGGACCGCGUUCUAUUAGCUUGUUGGCGGGGUAAUGGCCCACCAAGGCGACGAUGGAUACCGGGUGUGAGAGCAUGGCCCGGCUCACUGGGACUGAGACACUGCCCAGACACCUACGGGUGGCUGCAGUCGAGAAUCUUCGGCAAUGGGGGCAACCCUGACCGAGCGACGCCGCGUGCGGGACGAAGGCCUUCGGGUUGUAAACCGCUGUCAGUUGGGAGGAAGUGCCGGGGGGUUCUCCCCUCGGUUUGACCGAUCUUCAGAGGAAGGACGGGCUAAGUUCGUGCCAGCAGCCGCAGUAA
rnacentral:rRNA from 1 species